rnacentral:lncRNA from 10 species
GUCAACCAGAGAAAAGUAGAGCCCUGAGAGAGGGACUAGGUCCUGAAGACUUCAUUUAAGACACAGGAUCCAGCCUUGCUUGAUGUCAUUACUCCUAGACUUUCACGUACAAGAGCCAAAAAAUUGUCUUUUCUUCCCCCUUAACCCAGGGCUCCUGCAACCAAAAGAACACUUGACUGUGGCAUCUUUCCAGCCUCCUGUUAGCAGCUAGGUAAGGUGCCCCCAUGGCAAGGAGCUGCGGGCAGCCUCAAGAAACUGGGUGGCCUCUUAGGACCUGAGGGCAGCCUCCAACAAGCAAGCAGCAAACCUCUGGGGCCUUCUGUUCUACAACUGCAAGGAAAUAAAUUCUGCCAACAGCCUGAAUGAGCACGGAAGUGAACUCUUUCUCAGUCGAGCCUCUGAAUGAGAACACAGUUCAACUCAUGCCUUGACUGCAGCUUGUGAGAGUCUGAGAAGAGGACCAGGUAAGCGGUGCCCAGACUCCUGCCAAGGGAAACUGUGAUAUGUGUGUGGUUUUCAGCCACUGAUUUUGUGGUCACUUGUUACGCAGCAAUAGAAAACCAAACCAACAGACUUUGAAGAAUGAAAGACUUGGGUGUGAUUUCUGCUCUACUUACCAGUUGUGUGACCUUGCAUGAGUCACAUCACCACACUGAGCUCCAGUUUUCUCAUCUACAAAUGGGUGCAGACUUGGGAGAAUUAGAGAUAAUAAAUAGAAAGCACCUAACAUGGGGCCUGGCACAGAGUAGGUGCUCAAUAAAUAGUAGUUAAGAGUUACCCUGAUUUUUAAUUUUCGUCAUUCAUUUUUCUAAAUUUUCAAUAAUGAUCAUGAAUUACCUUGAUAAACAGAAAGAACAAUUUUGCUUAAAAUAAGAAGGAAAUGGGCUUGUCUAAGGUCACAUAGCUAGUCAGCAGUAGAGCCAAAUGAGAGAUCCUAAGCCUCCUAGGCCAGAUCUUUUCCCAGAACAACUCCUUCCUUAUCUAUGGAAUAACAAUAACAGCAACAGCAACAAUUACCCUAAGAGCCAGGCAGCUCCCCUGGACCAAACCUGCAAGGUGGUAUAGUUAUCCCCAUUUUACAGAUAGAGAAGCUGGGGCCAAAGUCCCACAGCUGGCAAGUGGCAGAGCUGGGAUUUGCCUUCUGGAGCUGGAAGAAACCACCUAGUCCACAACAUCCAAACUUGGCCUGGAUUCUCCUUCCCCAGACCCCCUUGGAGGUGGCAUGGGGGACACCUGGGCUUUCUGGAAUGAGGCAAAGGCAAGGAAAUCAGCAGUGAGACCUCGCCCAGAUCCCAUUACGCCAG